ACAAGCUUUUUCAAAAGAUGCUUAAGCUACUUGAUAUAUUUAGCUAGGAUGUCAAAUCGAGUUCUAGACAUGUGUUCUUUACAAGGUUUCUCCCUAUGCGUGAAUGCAAUCUAAAUGCUUCUAGACUCAAUCCUACAGAUGCAAAUGAUGCAACUAAAUGCUUCUUUUUGUGAUUUUUGAAUUUUUUUUUAUUUUUUUUUAUUUUUUAGGUAUGCACAAUGGAAUGCAUGAGACUCAA
rnacentral:lncRNA from 1 species